rnacentral:lncRNA from 1 species
AAAAUAAAAUGAGAGGUGUCCUAACCCUUUUACAUACGCUUCAGGGAUGUUCCAACCCUUAUACAGAAAGUGAUCAAUGUCAACUUAUACAACACCUGACCUACAAACAAUCUUCAACCUCUACCGACCACCAACUCAAUCCUUAUUAGAACGCAUGGUAAGCCACAUCAAAAGAAAUCCACAUCUACCUUGAUAGGAUCCUUAUACUCACUCUUCAGUCAAAACAAUACACACAAAAUAGUCCCUAAAAUAACCAGAAGCCCACAAACACAAUUACAAAGCGAAGUCCUCGCUCGCAAACAAAUAACAAAGAAACAACUCAAAACAGAACCUGCUUUCUUCAACAACUAAAGACAAUUAACCUACCAAUUAACCUUCCCUGGAAUCACAGUACCUGGUCAUAGCCUCAACAACUAAAUACCAUAGGAACCUGCACAAAAAAACCAACAUACCUAACCAUGAGCCACAUUCUCUUUUCUUAACCUCAACUAGCAUAAUCGAAGCACUUUUGUACCUGCACAAAUCAGUUUGAUAAAAAUAUGUCUUCAAUGUUUUUUCACUUUUUCUUCUUGUUAUUCUUCAAGAUUCC